rnacentral:rRNA from 1 species
GACGAACGCUGGCGGCGUGCUUAACACAUGCAAGUCGAACGGAAAGGCCCUUCGGGGUACUCGAGUGGCGAACGGGUGAGUAACACGUGGGUGAUCUGCCCUGCACUUUGGGAUAAGCCUGGGAAACUGGGUCUAAUACCGAAUAUGAUCAUCGGCUUCAUGGUCGGUGGUGGAAAGCUUUUGCGGUGUGGGAUGGGCCCGCGGCCUAUCAGCUUGUUGGUGGGGUAAUGGCCUACCAAGGCGACGACGGGUAGCCGGCCUGAGAGGGUGACCGGCCACACGGGGACUGAGAUACGGCCCAGACGCCUACGGGAGGCAGCAGUGGGGAAUAUUGCACAAUGGGCGCAAGCCGGAUGCAGCGACGCCGCGUGAGGGAUGACGGCCUUCGGGUUGUAAACCUCUUUCAGCACAGACGAAGCGCAAGUGACGGUAUGUGCAGAAGAAGGACCGGCCAACUACGUG